rnacentral:rRNA from 1 species
AUGUCCAUCCACCGACGCGACUGUCCCUCCUGUGAUCGCCGGCCCUUCUUGCUCUGUGCUCCCCAUGAGGGAGAGGGACCCGCACCGCCGCUCCUCCUCCACUGCGAGCUCUCUUUCAGCCUCGGUUCGAUUAGAGGCCGGACAGGGAGCCCCUUCUCACCCCUUCACCGGAUGCGAGGCAAACGAGACCCCUUGCCACCAGAUCCGAGUGCCCAUUGCCCCCUCCUGCUUGCCAGAGCCUCCAGGGAAUCGUGGACGCCGGCGGCCGUCGGAUUUGGCUUCCACCGUGCCAGUAGCCACGGCAUCCAUGGAUCACCGUCCGGAUCUGCACCACCACCGGUGCCUCGUCGCACACCUGUCCGCCGCCAGGGGCCGAGGAGGAGACCAGGCGGCCUCCAUAUCUCCUCUCCGUCCGGCGACCAUCGCCGUGCAGCUCGGCGGCAUGUGUGA